rnacentral:rRNA from 1 species
CCGGCUCAACCCCACGAACCCCUUGACCUCAAAUCGGGUGAGACUACCCGCUGAACUUAAGCAUAUCAAUAAGCGGAGGAAAAGAAACUAACGAGGAUUCCCCUAGUCCCUGCGAGUGAAGCGGGGAAAAGCUCAAAUUUAAAAUCUGGUGGUCUUUGGCCAUCCGAGUUGUAAUUUAGAGAAGCGUCUUCCGCGCCGGACCGUGCACAAGUCUCCUGGAAUGGAGCGUCAUAGAGGGUGAGAAUCCCGUCUUUGGCACGGACACCCGGUGCUUCUGUGAUGCGCUCUCGAAGAGUCGAGUUGUUUGGGAAUGCAGCUCAAAAUGGGUGGUGAACUCCAUCUAAAGCUAAAUAUUGGCGAGAGACCGAUAGCGAACAAGUACCGUGAGGGAAAGAUGAAAAGCACUUUGGAAAGAGAGUGAAACAGUACGUGAAAUUGUUGAAAGGGAAACGCUUGAAGUCAGUCGCGUUGACCGAGACUCAGCCUCGCCUUGGCUUGGUGUACUUCUCGGCUCGACGGGCCAGCAUCAAUUUCACCCCUCGGAUAAUGGCAAGGGAAAGGUGGCACCUUCACGGGUGUGUUAUAGUCCCCUGUCGCAUGUGAGGGGUGGGAUUGAGGAACUCGGCGUGCACCUUGGUGUCGGGGCUUCGGCCCACGUCACGCGCUUAGGAUGCUGGCGUAAUG